rnacentral:lncRNA from 1 species
GACUGAGGCGAGGGCUGCGGGACAAUCACGCUCGGCCUUCUCCUCUCCCGGGCGGCGCUCUCCCUGUGGCGGGGACCUGGGACGAGGGGGUGGGGUGGGGAGGGGAAGGCAGGAGGGGGCUGCCCUUCCGUUGCCCAUGCUAAAGGUUCCUGUGUAGGAAGCUGGACGCAGCCUGCUGGACUAGUAAUCUUCCUCCUCGCUGGGGCGCGGGGCACUGAAGGGAGGGAGAGACUUUCUCCUCCUUCCUGUUCCCCGGGACAGCUGUGCUCUCCGAAUCCUUCCCUUCUUCCCAGCCCACUUAUUCCCCGCUCGCCAAGGCACGUUUGCACAGGCAUUUUUCCUGCUCUUUUUUCUGGGAGGGCAGCUUGGUAGAAUGGUCGGCGGAGCUGGGCGAGGAGAGGGGUCUUCAGAAGGUUUGCUUUCUUGCUCUUGCUUCUCACUGGCCGCUGGGCUGUCCACUUUCCGCGCCGGGCGACUGGCAACAGGAGGCCAUGGAUUUCCCCCAACGAGUGCGUUGGUGUUUUUCUUUGGUUUUGUUUCCUUUGCAUGUUCGUAUGUGUAGUUUUAUUUUCUUGCCUGUUUUCGUUUGAUGGCAGAGAGGCGACCUCGGGAAGUAUUAAACAUUUGCCCGUAUAAGAAGAGCGUCUGUGGUCCACCAUGACCCUCGCUCAUCCCAGGUGGCUCUCCGCCCUGCCCUCUCCAUCCUCCCGCCUCGCACAGUACCGGCAGCUUGACCUUGGAGCCACUGCCACAUUGGUUCCGCGGGGGGAGUAGGAGGGUGGACAAUUUGGACUGUCCAGCGUAGGGGGUGAAUUGAAGGCAGAGGACACCAGUCCUCAGGCCUGACACUAUUAAUUUUAUGUAGGUCCUGUCAUCUCCACGAGAUAGCCAUAAAUGUGUUCCAGUAACAGGAAAGCUGAACAAGGAUCAGCCGCCCAGAAGUUAGCCUGUCGCAGCUAAACUAAUGCAUGCUUGCGGCCAAGACCACGCUGUCCUCGGCUUUCAGUCAAUAGGGUCUUCCCACCUUCCGCCCGCUGGAUUACAAGGCUUUACUAACCUCCAAGGCUACAAGCCAUUCUACACCCUGCCCACCUCUUUUUUCUUUCUUAACUUCUGCCUCCCUUCCAGUCUCCCAGCGCUCGGUCUAGUGCCUUUUUCCCUCCAGCCCUUUCCUCUUCCCUCCCUCCCUGUGCCUGUCUGCCUCUGUCGUCCCCUGUAAGCUUGUCUCCUGCAGCCAAGGCUUUCUAUCACCUAUUCUCAAGAUGCACUUAUGAAUAAACCUUGUCCUGCAUCGCUCCGGGAGAUCCCCUGAUGAUGAUCAUAAUUGACAAAAUGUAGCUAUUGUGACAUUCCUCAGCUGUGCUGACACCACCGUUUCCCUUGAGAAAAUUUCUUUUUCUAUAUUCGCAUUCCCUAAACCUAAUUUCACUGCUAAAUUUAGACAGCUCACUGCGCAGCCACUAGCUAAUUAUCUGUUUAGAUAGCACUUUAACACGUUGUUGAGACUCAGUUAAAUGUUAAACAACCAAAAUUUUAAUAUCACUAGCCAAUUUCAUUCUUCCAGGUUUUCCCUGAUGGCUCCACAUCUCCAAGAAAAGUAAUUUAGCCAACAUUUCAAAAAAUACCAAAGGCUUAACUUGGGUAGGGGCCAUCGGGCAAUUGCUACAGAGACCAUAAGGAAUUAGCAGGUUAAGUUCGUCUCAAAAAGAUGACAUGGAGCUUUAACAAAUAUAUUUCCUCCAUACUUACAGAAAUUGAAUAGUGGUCUGCUAUGAUAUUCUCUGACCUAAAGUGAAGAGAGAGCAUGGAAGAGCAUUAUUUAUAGAUGUUAUAUAAGCAUUAAAAGAGCACCAUGCUGGUGUUUUAUGUGCAUAUAUGUAUUAUAUUCUAAUAAUAA